rnacentral:lncRNA from 1 species
CAGGAUUGCUCCAUGAAAAACCCAGGCCGAACCGAACCUAUUCCCAGCCUUACAAAAGCCCUGAUGGCAGCCCUGGGAAAGCACAGAUCCUACUGUGCAUCAUCUCCUGUCUCUGGUGUCCCGGUAACUCCCUAACUCCAAGUUUCUCCAUCUUCGGAGCUGUGACCUAUUAAUGAG